rnacentral:rRNA from 1 species
UACGUAGGGGGCUAGCGUUAUCCGGAAUUACUGGGCGUAAAGGGUGCGUAGGUGGUUUCUUAAGUCAGAGGUGAAAGGCUACGGCUCAACCGUAGUAAGCCUUUGAAACUGGGAAACUUGAGUGCAGGAGAGGAGAGUGGAAUUCCUAGUGUAGCGGUGAAAUGCGUAGAUAUUAGGAGGAACAUCAGUGGCGAAGGCGGCUUACUGGACUGUAACUGACACUGAGGCUCGAAAGCGUGGGGAGCAAACAGGAUUAGAUACCCUGGUAGUCCCUGAG